UACGAAGGGGGCUAGCGUUGCUCGGAAUCACUGGGCGUAAAGGGUGCGUAGGCGGGUCUUUAAGUCAGAGGUGGAAAUCCUGGAGCUCAACUCCAGAACCUGCCUUUGAUACUGAGGAUCUUGAGUUCGGGAGAGGUGAGUGGAACUGCGAGUGUAGAGGUGAAAUUCGUAGAUAUUCGCAAGAACACCAGUGGCGAAGGCGGCUCACUGGCCCGAUACUGACGCUGAGGUGCGAAAGCGUGGGGAGCAAACAGG
rnacentral:rRNA from 1 species